ACCCCCGUGAGAAUGCCCCACAGUUCCCCUUCCCGGGAACAAGGAGCUGGUAUCAGGCACAUUUUAAUUAUCGCCCACGACACCUUGCUCAGCCACACCCCCAAGGGAAUUCAGCAGUGAUAAACAUUAAGCUAUAAGUGAAAACUUGACUUAGUUACAGCUAUAAGGGCCGGUAAAACUCGUGCCAGCCACCGCGGUUAUACGAGAGGCCCAAGUUGAUAGACAUCGGCGUAAAGAGUGGUUAAGUAACCCCUCCCCACUAAAGCCGAACGCCUCCAAGACUGUAAUACGUGUUCGGAGGUAUGAAGCCCAACUACGAAAGUGGCUUUAAAAAAACUGACCCCACGAAAGCUGAGAAACAAACUGGGAUUAGAUACCCCACUAUGCUCAGCCCUAAACUUUGAUAGUUCAAUUACACUCGCUAUCCGCCCGGGUACUACGAGCUCCGGCUUAAAACCCAAAGGACUUGGCGGUGCUUAAGAUCCACCUAGAGGAGCCUGUUCUAGAACCGAUACUCCCCGUUAAACCUCACCCUUUCUUGUUCUUACCGCCUAUAUACCGCCGUCGUCAGCUUACCCUGUGAAGGACUAGUAGUAAGCAAAAUUGGUACGGCCCAAAACGCCAGGUCGAGGUGUAGCGUAUGAAAGGGGAAGAAAUGGGCUACAUUUCCUAAACAGGAAAUACGAACAAUAAACUGAAAUGUAUAUUAGAAGGAGGAUUUAGCAGUAAAUGAAAAAUAGAGUGUUUCAUUGAAACCGGCCCUAAAGCGCGCACACACCGCCCGUCACUCUCCCCAAGAUACAGUUCUCUUAUAUUUAAUUACCCAAGUAAAUACAAGGGGAGGCAAGUCGUAACAUGGUAAGUGUAC
rnacentral:ncRNA from 1 species